rnacentral:ncRNA from 1 species
AAGGAGAUAACCGAAAAUCCAAAAAAAAGAGUAGGUA